UGAGUUUGAUUCUGGCUCAGGAUGAACGCUGGCGGCGUGCUUAACACAUGCAAGUCGAACGAACCUUCGGGUUAGUGGCGGACGGGUGAGUAACGCGUGAGAAUCUGCCCUCAGGAGGGGGAUAACGGUUGGAAACGACCGCUAAUACCCCAUAUGCCUACUGGUGAAAUGAAUUUCGCCUGAGGAUGAGCUCGCGUCUGAUUAGCUAGUUGGUGAGGUAAUGGCUCACCAAGGCUUCGAUCAGUAGCUGGUCUGAGAGGAUGAUCAGCCACACUGGGACUGAGACACGGCCCAGACUCCUACGGGAGGCAGCAGUGGGGAAUUUUCCGCAAUGGGCGAAAGCCUGACGGAGCAACGCCGCGUGAGGGAAGAAGGCCUCUGGGCUGUAAACCUCUUUUCUCAAGGAAGAAGAUAUGACGGUACUUGAGGAAUAAGCCACGGCUAAUUCCGUGCCAGCAGCCGCGGUAAUACGGGAGUGGCAAGCGUUAUCCGGAAUUAUUGGGCGUAAAGCGUCCGCAGGCGGCUUUUCAAGUCUGCUGUUAAAGCGUGGAGCUUAACUCCAUCAUGGCAGUGGAAACUGAAAGGCUUGAGUAUGGUAGGGGCAGAGGGAAUUCCCGGUGUAGCGGUGAAAUGC
rnacentral:rRNA from 1 species